GACUGUUGUUUGUUACUUCUAUAGAGCACAACAAAGAAGAAGGCGAGUGGUCCCAAAAUGCCCAGUUACUUGCAAGAGAAUUCAAGGGAAUGAGAAUUUGAAUGGUGAUGUGGCAAGUUCAUCGACUCAUAAUUCCUCACUUCAUGGGGCAUCUUCACCUUCUAUACCUAUGGUUGCUUUUGUACGUGGAAUAAAUCAUUUCGAGACUCAAUCCUCAUCAAACAAAAAAACUUGGUGAAAGUCCUGGAAUUUUUGCCUGUAAUUGUUGGAGAAUUGUUUCAGGGAUGAAAGUGGUCGGUGAAUACUAGCUUUCAAGCUUCUUCUUCUUCCUUUUUUUUUUUUCGAGGGGUAAAACCUGGUAAAAGCCCUUUGUAAAAGUUCCAAUCUCGAUUAAUCAAUUGUCACAUGGCUAACCUAGAGAUUCAUGACCAUAUUUUGUAACCAAUUCAAGUUUUUUGUGUCUCAUAUCAAACCCAUUUAUAUUGUAAUUGUGAGAUGAAUUACACUAGUUGAAGAAUUUAGAG